rnacentral:rRNA from 1 species
AGAGUUUGAUCCUGGCUCAGAUUGAACGCUGGCGGCGUGCCUAACACAUGCAAGUCGAUCGGUAACGCGGGGGCAACCCUGGCGACGAGAGGCGGACGGGUGAGCAAUGCUUGGGAAUCUGCCCAUCAGCGGGGGACAACCCGGGGAAACUCGGGCUAAUACCGCAUACGCUCUACGGAGGAAAGCCGGGGACCGCAAGGCCUGGCACUGACGGAUGAGCCCAAGCCGGAUCAGCUAGUUGGCGGGGUAACGGCCCACCAAGGCGACGAUCCGUAGCUGGUCUGAGAGGACGAUCAGCCACACCGGAACUGAGACACGGUCCGGACUCCUACGGGAGGCAGCAGUGGGGAAUAUUGGACAAUGGGGGAAACCCUGAUCCAGCGACGCCGCGUGGGUGAAGAAGGCCUGCGGGUUGUAAAGCCCUUUCGGUAGGGACGAAAGCUUCCGACCUAACACGUCGGAAGGUUGACUUAACCUACAAAAGAAGCACCGGCUAACUCUGUGCCAGCAGCCGCGGUAAU